rnacentral:lncRNA from 1 species
ACAUACUUUGCUUUGGUCAAACCUCUCACUUCAAAAAUCCAGACAAAAGAUUCACCAAGUACGACUUGAUUCAAAAGAAGUCUAAGACAUUUCUCAAUUUAACUUAAAAAACUAGGCUCCACAAUAUGAAGAACCCUAACCUUCAUCUAAGUACAAGUUUUCUUUAUUGACAAGUAAUAUAUUUUUCCCUGAUUAACAAGUAGCAUUUCAAGAGGGCCUGGAGGCCCCAGCAUCAAGUACAUUGCA